UGGGAGGAUAUAAGUAACAAUAAAUAAGUUUAAAAAAUUGAUAAUACAAAAAGGUCCCAUUGUAAUUUUAUCGAGUUUUAACGAAGAAGUCAACGGAGGCUGUGUGGUCAUGUCACCUCAAUUUUCAAACUUAUUUCGAAGCACGAAAUCAUAUAUCUGAACUGAAACUUAAAACAUUUUUAAUUGUAAAAAUGUGUAUACUGUAAAACGCGGGGUUGGGAGGUAAAAUACACAAUAUAACAAAAAAGUCAUGACCGUUUAAUAUAUGUUCACCGUUCACUUUCAUUGAAAACCAAUCGGCCAUUAAUG
rnacentral:lncRNA from 1 species